GAUAAAACAAUUUUAUCUACAUUAUUUGGAUGAACUUGUAUUUUAUUCAAAAAAACUCGGAACUUUUGACAAAGAAUGCCAAAAGCAUUUUCUGACACUCUGCGCGCUCUAGAGAGCCGGUAAUUGAAUAUCUUUUUGUCUUCAGAAAGUCCCCGACCUGGGUAAGGGCGCAUUAGAUAAGUUUUGCUAGGAAAGGCUUCAUCUCCUACAAUCACGAACGGUAACGGUUUUCCAUUUUCUGUUAUUGGCCGAUCUUCGGGUAUUCCAAACGUGUUAUUUUGAAGGGCUUUUCCCAUUCUAGAGUUAUUAAAUAAUCCUCCAUCACUAUUUUUGCCAUAUCCUCCGACAUCAACAGCAAUAAAUCUGUAUUCAGGAUCUACCAUAGCUAAUAAUACUAUAGAAAAUGUUUUCUUGUAAUUGAAAGACAAGGAUCCACUUCCGGCAGGUGCUUGUAUAGUGAUGUGCUUUCCAUCUAUUGCAGCGACACAAUUAGGGAAAUUCCAAAUGCUUUCAAAUUUUUCAGCACAACUUAUAAGGAUGCCUUUCGUUGGCUGUGGCAUAACAAUAUCUGACAGAGUUUCCCAAAUAACGUUGCUAGUAUCGGUUACAAUCUUCUGUACAGUAGAGUGUCCUAAUCUAAAGUUGAACGAUAAUGUUUGAAAAUCUGCUCCGGUUGCUAAGAAUCUAAAAAGAAAUUGUAAUAAAAUUGAUUGAAAAUGUAAUUAUUUAAGGUGAUGUGUGCAAACAACGGUGGAAAACAUUAAGGGAUGGGUUUCAACGAGCUGCAAGAAGCCAAAAAACAAAAAAUGGACAGGCUGCAAAACCGACUAAAAAAUGGAAAUAUUGGGACAUAUUGUCAUUUCUUUUGCCGCAUAUCAAAGGAAGAGAGUCUCAUAACAGCAAAUUUUUGUUUUUUAAAAAUUUUUUUAGAACUCAGUCCAAUAUCAACCGCGUAGAUGGCGACGAGGAAGAAGAAUCGGAAGAAGAUGGUAAUGAAACCAGAAGCGAAGUGGAUGAAAACCAGAUUGAAGAUGAUGGAGAAGACGUUCCGAGUCCAAGAGACGAUGUAAUGAGUCCCACUUCUUAUUCACAACCGAAUACUCCACAAUCUAAUGCGUCAAGUGUCAAAAGUGUAUCGACAGUUGCUAAAAGCAAAAAGCCUAACUGCAAGAAAGUAGAUAGAUUGCCUGAAAUACUAAAAGAAUAUAUCAACGACAAGAAACGAAGUCGCUUAGAGAAAUCGACGGCUCGGGCAGACGCAAAAGAUAAUUCGAUUUUAGAUUUUUUCAUAAAUAUGGGCAAAACGGUUGCAACCUUUCCUCCUCUAGAGCAAGCUUCAAACAAAAGGCAGGUGUUUCAAAUUGUAAAUUCGUAUGAAUUACAGCUAUUGGGUGGCACAACACCAACACAAAGUCUUUUUUACAUGCAAAACCAACCAUCCACUUCCUUUCACCCACCCAGUUCAUAUUUCCACAACCAACAACCCCAGUCUGCUUCUACUUGCUAUGAAAAGUCUGGGUCUCAUGCACAAACGUUAACAAAUCAGAACAUCGUCCAAGCCCAACAACACCCUUCACCUGCACCAACAGAGCAGUCAUCCUCAUCCAUUCACCCACUAAGUUCAUAUGUCCACAACCCACAAUCCCAAGCUGCUUCUGCUUACUAUGAAAAGUCUGGGUCUCAUACACAAACAUUAACAACUCAACAGUUUCCACCUGCAGCAGCGACAGAGCAGUCAUUCCCAUUCCAGUCGGGCUCGAAAUAUGUCAUGGACCCAAUACUUUCGUUUUCGUUUAUCUAAUUGGUGUUGGUGCCAAACAACAGUCACGAAGAUUUCGUCUGAUGAACUGGAUGAUGUGUCCUCUGCCGUGCACAUUUUCACAAGGAAGACAUAGAACUGCGAGUAUUUUGAUGCUCAAGUGUGUAUACCUACAUUAAAAUGCUGCAUCGCGCUGCUCUGCUUCGUGCUGUGACGCGCUGCCUUAGUGAGAAUCGACCUUAACCCAUUAAAAUAUUUUGUUUGUUUGGUAGAAAAAUUCGUUUUUUUUUAAGUAACAAUAAUUCCUUUGUUAGUCUGCUCAUGUCUAAAUUAAUGAUACAAUGUAAUGUCCAGAAUACACAUAUCGACCAGCAGGAAAAGUUAUCGUCAAUCGUCAUGAUUGGCACUAAUGACUUGAGACGAAACAAAAAUUAUGCCAUGAACUGCGAUGCUGCGCCUGAUUGCGACAUUGAAGAAAUCACAACCUAUUGAACAAAUCGAAAUUGCACGUUGCCGUCGAUACCAAACGUCACACAGAAUCAAGUAGCAAACAUGAAACAAUUUAAUAAAUUUAUUCGCAAUAAAACUGAUAGCAAGCACGCUGCUUCUGUGUGAAGUGGAGGCAAAAUGAAACAAGUAAAAGGUUUUCGCCCUAAGGCAAGUAACUUCAGCGCAUUUUCCAUGAAUGAUCAGUACUUCC